ACAGAAGAGAGCAGAGUGAAAGUUUUCUAUUGCAAACAUCUGUGUCUGAAAAAAGGAUUGUAUUUCCAUGUCCUGGAACAUCAAGGGGAAAAGCUUGCCCUCCCCAGACACACACCUUUAGUUUGCAGCAAUAAGGAGUUUAUAGACAAGUCAUAAUCUUCUUGUGCCUUGAGGAUACGUUUACUGCUAAGAAACAGCACUUCUUCAUUCCUGAAGUGAUAACAUCUCUUCAAGUACCAGACCAUGGACUAGAGUUUUACUUUGAGCAACGUUAUUGGCAAGUAUGGUCUUGCCUUUCCUCGUCAUUUCCCCAGCUGCCAAAUGUCACUCAGGUGUGUGACCUUCAAAUUAUUUCUGUUCAGACACAUUGCUUGUAUGGAUUCUCUUUCCUACCAGACAAUCCAUCUGUGUGGGUGGACCUUCUCUCCCACUGGAGCAGUGGGGUACGUGGUCCGGCUGUGCUGUCCCAGGGCACAGGAGAUGAACAGCACUGCUGCCUCUGUUGUGUUUUCAGUGUUCCUCUGACAGAGCAUGGGAGAAGAAGGAACCUUUCUGACAAGACUACAGAAGCACCUGGAAAACAUCAACAUCUGGACAAAGAACAGCCAGGCAGAGCCUGGCAGGAUGGAGGAAGUCUGCGGGGGAAUUUCUAUCUUGAAAAACUCAUCUUCAGAACAGAAUGUACCCAUUCAUCUAUGGUAUCUGGCUUCAUAUCAUCAAGUAAGUCAGCAUGGCCAGUUCUUCUGGAUUCCUUGCUCUUCUGGAAUAGCCCCCAAAACAUGGAUACUAAUAAAUCAAUUUCUUAGCUGUAGGAAUCUGGAAAUCUAGGCCUUGUUCAAUCAGAUUUUGAUUUCACUGUGGCAGUCAUCAUCUAUAUGGUUCUGGUUUAUUGUAUUAUUUAUACCCAGAAACAACUCUGGGGAUUGUUCUGACUCAGUUCUGGUGAACUAUAAUGCAGCCAUUUGCUCGCUUAACAGCACAGGACACCAAAAGCCUUAUUUCUGUCCAUCGUCUCGACAUCGGCUCUCUCGCAUAUAAUCUAGAUGAAGGUUCUGUUAUCAUUAUUCAGGGCCCUAUCUGGGUCUGACUAGGAUCAUCUAGACCAAGAUUAUUCCUUGGAGAAGGCUAUACUUAAAAGAAUAUUUUUUUUACUUUUCAGAAGCAUAUCUGCACAGAAACUCUAUUUUAGCUUGUGUAUGUCUUCAAUGGGAGCUAAAAAAUUGCAGAACGUUUAUUAUUUUUCCCUUUCAUUUUGUUCUGGGGUGUUGUGAGGGGUAGUGAAACUGGAAUCUGUAGUGCACAGUCUGGAAAAGUGCAUUGCUGAGACCAGCUACUUAUGUAAAGGUUUUCUGCGUACUGUGGAGUAGAAAGGCUGAAUGACUGGCAUGUGAUAAACCGAGCGGAGAUGUCUUACUGUGAAACCCAACACUUAUUAUACACCUCUAAUCUCAAUAAACUAGAAAAGCAAAACCUUAGCCAAGCCCAAUCUUUCUGCUCACCUUUCAUUCAAGAAAGCAUU